GCUCGCGUAGCUCAGUCGGUAGAGCAUUGGUCUAAUAAGCCAACGGUCGCAGGUUCGAUCCCUGUCGUGAGCA
rfam:Ceratocystis platani strain CFO contig_01011, whole genome shotgun sequence.